rnacentral:lncRNA from 1 species
GAUUUUAUCCAAGUUGAUACAACAGCUGACCCAACAGAAUUAUGGGGAAGACCAACUACAGUGUUACGGUGACAAAUCACAAAUUGAAUGACAGAAACGAUGCGUCAGUGUCUCAAUACCCUAGCAACAUGCCGCAUGGUCUGAGAUCUUAAGAUAUUGAAAACAUUGAAAAAUUGAAUUUUAAGAUAGAUAAAUAAAGUAUACCACUGUCCAUUAUAAUUCCAUCAGAUAUUUAUCAUCGAAGUGAAAUGUUAUUGUGAUAUAAUUUCUCUUUUAACAAAACGGAUUUUCCAUUUUGAACUGAAAAGUGACAUUUUGUGAUUCAUGUAUAAAAACCCAAAUAUUAAUGAUUGUAUUAUGUGCCUUACAUUGCCAUACCUGGUUGUUCUUUAAAUCAAUUUUACACAUGAUACCUGAUAUCAAUAGAAAACCGUCAGACCAUGCAAAUUGUAUUUAAACUAAAGUUUGGAGUUUAGUUUUUAUCACUGACCUAAAUUAAAAUUGUCAAAAUAUAUCUUAACAACUCGAAAUAAAGUAUUGCAUUUUAUCCUCACAUAUUAAUCAUUUUAGUGAGUUGUUGUUUAAUAUAACUUCAAUUUUAACACAACGGAUUCCGCAUUUUAUCUUUAUAAAGAUAUUUUGUGAUUCAAUCGGAC